UUUAGAUGAAUUUAUAUAUAUUUUAGGUUUUAAAAAAUUAUUUCCAGGAUAUUCAGAAAAGUAUUCUGCCCAAGUAUGUUGAAUUUAAACUUCAAUGACGUUCAAAAAAAAAAAAAACAUUUUUUGAUUUAUAAAAUUCCAAGUAAUCAAUAAUUACUCUGAAUUUUUCAUAUAAAAAGAUAAUUAAUUAAAAAACGGUAACACAGUAGGCUGGCGGCAUAAUAUGGACGUGGCAUAGUUGGGACAAGUAUACGAUAUCUGACAGUGAUUAUAAUCACUAUGAAAUACGACUUCAAAAUUAAGAUGACGACAUACUAAUAGUAAAAGAUUCCUGUUUAACUUUUGUUUCAAAAAAACACAAGCUCCAUUUAAUCUACCUGUAUUGGAAGUAUCAAUAACCAUUGUUUGGAUUUUACUAAGUAAGUUUCAUUCUUGUAAUGUGUCCUACACUGCAGAUGAUACUUCCAACCCCGUACAAGAAGUAAGAUCAGGAACAGCAAAAAGUUGCUCUAUUCCGAACGCUACAGCAACAAUUGGUAGUCGGUGUAUAUUUUCAACUCCAGCUAUAUCAGUCAAAGAACCCUUUUUCAAUGUAUGUACAAAAUCAUGAAAUUCCUGAAAAAUGUGAAGCAAAUGAAAGCCGGACGAUGAAUAUGUGCGUCUCUGGAAUGGGUUUUAAGAAGAACACCUGGAGAAACUCUGGAACGGACGCUCUCGUGUUGUUUCGAUAAAACCGACACACGAACACGUCGCUUUCAUCGUCAGGUUCUCGCGAGCUAAAUUAAUUUAACACCGCAGAAUAAUUAUAAGUGUAUUAAUUAAUAUUUAAAGUUGUGUUUUUUAAUUAAGAAUAAUAUCACUCUGUAAACUUCGCGUGAUUAUUACAAUUGUUUUAAAUAAAUAUAUGUGAAGUUACAUUAAUUAUAUUAUUUUUUUCAUCGACA